rnacentral:lncRNA from 13 species
CCCACCCUGCCAUCCUGUUAACUAUGAUCAUGUGACUACUCCUCACCCACCCUGCCAUCCUGUUACUAUGAUCAUGUGACUACUCCUCACCCACCCUGCCAUCCUGUUACUAUGAUCAUGUGACUACUCCUCACCCACCCUGCCAUCCUGUUACUAUGAUCAUGUGACUACUCCUCACCCACCCUGCCAUCCUAACUGUUACUAUGAUCAUGUGACUACUCCUCACCCACCCUGCCAUCUUAACUACUCUUACCGCCCCCCCAUUGUAACGGAACUUGUGGGGGACAUGAGACAUCAAUCAAGAUGA